AGAGUUUGAUCCUGGCUCAGGAUGAACGCUAGCGGCAGGCUUAAUACAUGCAAGUCGAACGGGAUUCGGUGUAGCAAUACAUUGAUGAGAGUGGCGCACGGGUGCGUAACACGUAUGCAACCUACCUUUAACAGGGGAAUAGCCCCGAGAAAUCGGGAUUAAUACUCCGUAACAUUGCGAUGUGGCAUCACAUUGCAAUUAAAGAUUCAUCGGUUAAAGAUGGGCAUGCGUGACAUUAGCUAGUUGGUGAGGUAACGGCUCACCAAGGCAACGAUGUCUAGGGGUCCUGAGAGGGUUAUCCCCCCCACUGGUACUGAGACACGGACCAGACUCCUACGGGAGGCAGCAGUAAGGAAUAUUGGUCAAUGGGCGCAAGCCUGAACCAGCCAUGCCGCGUGCAGGAAGACGGCCCUAUGGGUUGUAAACUGCUUUUGUCAGGGAAUAAACCUGUCUACGUGUAGACAGCUGAAGGUACCUGAAGAAUAAGCAUCGGCUAACUCCGUGCCAGCAGCCGCGGUAAUACGGAGGAUGCAAGCGUUAUCCGGAUUCAUUGGGUUUAAAGGGUGCGCAGGCGGGCUGAUGAGUCAGAGGUGAAAUCCCACAGCUCAACUGUGGAACUGCCUUUGAUACUGUUAGUCUAGAGUAUAGUUGAAGUUGGCGGAAUGUGUCAUGUAGCGGUGAAAUGCUUAGAUAUGACACAGAACACCGAUCGCGAAGGCAGCUAGCUAAGCUAUAACUGACGCUCAUGCACGAAAGCGUGGGGAUCAAACAGGAUUAGAUACCCUGGUAGUCCACGCUGUAAACGAUGAUUACUCGAUGUUGGCGAUACACAGUCAGCGUCUAAGGGAAACCAAUAAGUAAUCCACCUGGGGAGUACGAUCGCAGAUUGAAACUCAAAGGAAUUGACGGGGGCCCGCACAAGCGNANGAGCAUGUGGUUUAAUUCGAUGAUACNCGAGGAACCUUACUGGGCUAGAACGUA
rnacentral:rRNA from 1 species